rnacentral:lncRNA from 1 species
AUUAUCUUGAAAAUGUGUCACGCCCUAUGACUUUUUUGGUUUUGGUUUUAAUCUUACCACUGUGCAUGUGUAUAUGCGUGCGCCGUGGCGUGCAUGCGUGUGGAGUCAACUCCCCCUCCACCUUGUCCUGGGUCCCGGAAGUUAUAUUCAGGCCUAUGCCGCAAACGCCUUUUCCCAUCUAGCAGUUGCAGCGGCCCACAUCUGGGCUUCGCCUGGGGGACCUUGUUCUGAAUGGCCAUCUCGCCAGCAGGUGACCUUGACUACAGCACGGUGCUGCUCGGCAUGCUGGUGAUGCAAGACGUGCAGCUGGGUCUGUUCAUUGCCGUCAUGCCGACUCUCAUCCAGGCCUCAGCAAGCACCUCUUCCAGGUGAGCCCCUGGCCUGAGGCAACUCAGAGGCUUAAACGAGUCAGUAGGCAUCCGUGUCGUGGAUGCUCUGGAGAAUGGUGAUGCUUGUGUGCCUUUGCACACGCGUGUUGUGACGUGUGAUGACGUGUGGAGGCUCUGGUGCAUGUCACUGCCAUCAGCACUGCUCUAUUCUCUCAUCCUUCCUUUCAAUCUUCCCCAAACCCUGAUCCAUACGC